rnacentral:sRNA from 1 species
ACGUCCUGUCGGUCGGCUAAAAGCGCCAACGUCCUGUUGGCAACGCCGACACUAGCACCUCGUGUGCG